GCUUCGACUAAGGUUCGAUUCGAGCGAAAGCGAGAAAGCGUUGCCAACGGCAACGACCCGAAGGGCGAAGCGCGCAGCGCUGAGUAAUCCUUCCCCCACCACCA
rnacentral:sRNA from 1 species